CUUGUGUCCUGCACAAAGUAGAUGUCCUAACCGACUUGCCAAAACUAUAGUUGUUGAAAAAACGAGUUUUAAUGACUCCAACCUAAGUGUAUGUAAACUUCCAACUUCAACUGUAUAUUUUGGGAAAAUAUAGAAUCAUCAAAGUGAUAUGUGUAAACUAGUUAUAUUUAUGUAUUUUAGUAUAAUAACAGAAAUCUGAGAUAAAAUAUCUACAGACUCACGUAUUUAGUACAUAGUUAAGAACACAUCUGAUAUUAAUGCAUUAUGAAUGAUAUCAGAUGCCUCAUUAGGGUUAGAUGGCAUUAAUAUUUCAUUAUUACUCCUGGCUUCAUGGACCCUUAUGUUCUCUUCUUCCCAGGCAGAAGGACCAUCUCAUUGGCAAUAUGGUGUAGAUAUAUUUUAGAAGAAUUUGUUUUAUUUCAUUAGAGCUCUGCUCUAAUCAUGUCCUCAAAAGUUUGGUGAAAAUGAAAAGUGUGGAAAACUAUUCUGAAAUGAAAUCUCCACUGGACUCUUUUCAAAUUAUCAGCCAUGAAUCAAUUAUAAAAAUCCAUGCCUUUGUAGACACAAAAAUAAAGGGCAUUUAAAUAGAGCUUAAUGUGAUACUAUAACAACUAUAAUACCUAGAGCAUGCCAGCUAGGUGUCUGGAAGAGAAAUCAUUAAAUGGAAAUAUUCAUUUGAAUGAUUUAAUUUAAAUCUCAGUCUUAAUUCCUCUUCCACCUUUGGAAUGAUCUAAAAGGUUGUGUUUUUCAAAUCUUGUUUCAGACAUUGAAAAUUAUCCUCAUUCCCUCUUAAACAUGUCAUUUCGGAGGCCGUUUGGGAGUUAAAAGUUCUAGGGGACAUGUUAAUGACAUGGUAUAUGGCAUCAGUUGGAAAACUCAUCAUUUGAAAAAUGAGUCUGGCAAGGAUGGCCAAUCAGAGGCCAGUCAAGGCUGUUGUUGGGGGAAACACAGAGGCCAGUCACUGCAGGCCUUGCAGAAGGUAAAUACAUCCACCCAGCCUAUUGGCAGCCUGCGGUUAAACCAGGGCCAAUGCUGGGUGAUUCAAAUGACAUGAUACUGAUUGGAACCUUUUAAAGUGCAGUAGUUAAAUGAAAAGCCUGUUGGAGUGGGAUACACAUCAUCCAAUCCAAUCCCACUCAUUGCAACAACAUCACAUACAAGAGCUAUGAGGUUUUCCUCCCAACUCUAAACUGUUUUUGUCAUACGCCAAUGUUAAUCUCCAUGCGUAGUACGUAGUAUAAUAAAUACAACCACUCAGUCCCAAAGAGUUCCCUUCUGAAUGUUUAUUGGCCUAUUUCAAACUCCAUUGUAAAAUAUACUUGAUAAAGAAUCAGUACGUUCCGAAACUAAUUUUUCACUGCAAUGACUAGCCGUUACAGCACAUCCUUCAGGAAAUUAUCAAACAUCAACUCCGUGUUUAGGGAGUCAUUGAGGUGCGUACUGACUUCCCUGAACACCCAGUAGGUGUGUUCACAGAGCAUCUCAGAGUUGAGGUGGUUAUCUAGGAUCAGGCCCCCCUCCUCCCUCUUCUUGUUCAUUAUGAUGUUAACACUGAUCCUGGAUGUGGUCUCUCUUUCUGAAUACUGGCCCAGUAGCAGUGUCAGGAAAAUCCUGUCUGUCAUUGGUUACCCACCAGGAUACAGGUCAACAUAUCUGACCCCAACCCACCAGGAUACAGGCCAACAUAUCUGACCCCAACCCUAACCCACCAGGAUACAGGUCUACAUAUCUGACCCCAACCCACCAGGAUACAGGUCAACAUAUCUGACCCAAACCCUAACCCACCAGGAUACAGGUCAACAUAUCUGACCCCAACCCUAACCCACCAGGAUACAGGUCAACAUAUCUGACCCCAACCCUAACCCACAGGAUACAGGUCAACAUAUCUGACCCCAACCCUAACCCACCAGGACACAGGUCAACCUAUCUGACCCCAACCCACCAGGAUACAGGUCAACAUAUCUGACCCCAGACAGACAGACAGACAGACAGACAGACAGACAGACAGACA